rnacentral:tRNA from 1 species
GGUGGCUCUGUGGUAGAGCGUUUGCCUUGCAUGCAUGAGGCCCUAGGUUAGAUUCCUCAGCACCA